GACGAACGCUGGCGGCGUGCUUAACACAUGCAAGUCGAACGAAGAGCGAUGGACGCUUGCUUCUAUCAAUCUUAGUGGCGAACGGGUGAGUAACGCGUAAUCAACCUGCCCUUCAGAGGGGGACAACAGUUGGAAACGACUGCUAAUACCGCAUACGAUCUAAUCUCGGCAUCGAGGAUAGAUGAAAGGUGGCCUCUACAUGUAAGCUAUCACUGAAGGAGGGGAUUGCGUCUGAUUAGCUAGUUGGAGGGGUAACGGCCCACCAAGGCGAUGAUCAGUAGCCGGUCUGAGAGGAUGAACGGCCACAUUGGGACUGAGACACGGCCCAGACUCCUACGGGAGGCAGCAGUGGGGAAUCUUCCGCAAUGGACGAAAGUCUGACGGAGCAACGCCGCGUGAGUGAGGGCGGCCUUCGGGUUGUAAAGCUCUGUUAAUCGGGACGAAAGGCCUUCUUGCGAAUAGUGAGAAGGAUUGACGGUACCGGAAGAGAAAGCCACGGCUAACUACGUG
rnacentral:rRNA from 1 species